ACCAUGCCUAGGAAGGAAAGGAGUUGUUGUUUUGUAAGGGAUUGAGGUUGGGGAGAUUAAUUGGACACGAUCAGCAGGGAGAGCACCUGUGUUUUUAUGAGAAUUAUGCUGAGAUAGGUAACAGAUGAGGGUGAAAUUUGGGCUUGACUGAAGUAAUGGGGGCUGUCUGUGAAGCCUUGCGGCAGUACAGCCCAGGUAAUUUGCUGAGCCUAAUGGGUGUUAGGGUCAGUCCAGCUGAAAGCGAAGAGAGGCUGGGAUGAUGGGUGCAAAGGAAUAGUAAAGAAAACAUGUUUGAGAUCCAGAACAGAAUAAUGGAUUGUGGAGGGAGGUAUUGAGGAUAGGAGAGUAUAUGGGUUUGGCACCAUAGGGUGGAUAGGCAAAACAAUUUGGUUGAUAAGGCAUAGAUCCCGAACUAACUUGGAAGGCUUGUCUGGUUUUAGGACAGGUAUAAUGGGGGAAUUGUAAGGAGAGUUUAUAGGCUUUAAAAGGCCAUGCUGUAGCACGCAAGUGAUAACAGGCUUUAAUCCUUUCAAAGCAUGGUGUGGGAUGAGAUAUUGGCAUUGAGCGGGGUAAGGGUGAUUAGGUUUUAAUGAGAUAGUAAGGGGUGCAUGAUCAGUUACCAAGGAGGGAGUAGAGGUAUCUUAUUCCUGUGGGUUAAGGUGGGGGAAUACAAGAGGAGGACGCAAAGGAGGCUUUGGAUUGGGAAGAAGGGCAGCAAUGAGAUGUAGCUGUAAUCCAGGACUAGUCAGGGAAGCAGAUAAUUUAGUUAAAGUGUCUCGGCCUAAUAAGGGAACUGAGCAGGUGGGGAUAACUAAAAGAGUGCUUAGAAGAGUAUUGUCUCAGUUGGCACCAGAGUUGGGGAGUUUUAAGAGGUUUAGAAGCCUGGCCGUCAAUACCUACAACAGUUACGGAGGCAAGGGAAACAGGCCCUUGAAAAGAAGGUAAUGUGGAGUGGGUAGGCUCCAUAUUGAUUAAGGGGACGGACUUACCUUCCACUGUGAGAGUUACUCGAAGCUCAGCGUCUGUGAUGAUCUAUGGGGCUUUCGAGGUGAUCGGGCAGCGUCAGUCUUCAGCUGCUAAGCCGAGAAGGAGUCAGAGAGCCUUGGGCCAGAAUUCCAGGGGCUCUGGGAGUGCCUGCCAGGUGAGUUGAACAGUCCGAUUUCCAGUGGGGUCCCGCACAGAUGGACACGGCUUAGGAGGAAUCCUGGGCUGCAGGCAUUCCUUGGCCUGGUGGUCAGAUUUCUGGCACUUGUAGCAAGCUCCUGUGGGAGGAGGUUCUGGAGGAACUCCUGGCUGCUGUGGUUCAGGCGUUUGGAAGUUCUUGUGUGCUGGAGAUGUGGCUGGGGUUUGUCUCACAGUGGAGGCAAGGAAUUGCAACUUUUUUUUUAUUAUUGUACGCCUUGAAGGUGAGAUUAAUGAAGUCCUGUUGUGGGGUUUGAGGGCCAGAUUCCAGUUUUUGGAGUUUUAUUUAAUGUCGGGAGCAGAUUAGGUAAUAAAAUGUAUAUUGAGAAUAUGAUGGCCUUUUGACCUUUUAGGGUCUAGGGCUGUAAAGCGUCUCAGGGUUGCUGUGGAACGAGCCAUAAACUGGGCUGGGUUUUUAUAUUUGAUGAAAAGGAGCCUAAACACUUCUGAUUUGGGAUAAAGAAAAAGGAGCAUUAACCUUGACUAUGCCUUUGGCUCCAGCAACCUUUUUAAGAGUAAAUUGCUGGGCAGGUGGUGGAGGGCUAGUCACGGAACGAAACUGUAAGCCAGACCAGGUGUGAGGAGGGGAGGCGAUAAAAAGAUUAUAGGGUGGAGGGGCGGAGGCGAGGAAGAAUCGGGACCUAGCUUGGCCUGGUGAGGAAGGGAGAGGUCAGAUGGGUCUGUAGAAAAGGAAGAUUAGAAAGACUCAGUGAUGCUUGGGGUUGGGACUGAGGGGACAGGCGGGAGGGGAAAGAAGGAAGAUUUGGGAUGAGUUGCACUGGGCACAGAGACUAGGAAGGGACCGAUGUGUAAAAGAAUGCCUGGACGUCAGGCACCUCAGACCAUUUGCCCAUUUUACGGCAAGAAUUAUUUAGAUCUUGUAGGAUGCAAAAAUUGAAAGUGCCGUUUUUCUGGCUAUUUGGAACUACUGUCGAGUUUGUAUUGGGGUCAAGUGGCAUUGCAGAAGAAAAUAAGAUACUUAGAUUUUAGGUCAGGUGAGAGCUGAAGAGGUUUUAAGUUCUUAAGAACACAAGCUAAGGGAGAAGGAGGAAUGGAAGGUGGAAGCUUGCCCAUAGUGAAGUAGGCAAGCCCAGAGAAAAGAGUAGAGACAUGGAGAAGGGGUGGGGGUUUCUUGCCCUCCAGAAAAGCAGAGAAGGGGUCGGGGUGCAGAGAUAUGAGGUUGGGGCAUGGAAAUAAGGGAUCAGGGUGCAGAGAUACAAGGUUGGGGUACGUGCCCCCCCCUCCAGAAAAGCAGAGAAGGGGUAGAGACACGGAGAGAAGGGGUUGGGGUACUUGCACCUCCCCUAGAAAAGCGGGACUUGCCACUGAGGGGAAGGAGAAGGGGUUGAGGGGUUCUUGCCCUUGCCCCAGAAAAUCAGAGAAGGGGUAGAGACACGGAGAGAAGGGGUUGGGGUACUUGCCCCUCCCCUAGAAAAGCGGGACUUGCCGCUAAGGGUGAAGGACCAAGGCAGGCGUCCCUGCAUGGUCUGACACCUUUGAAACGUGGGUGAAUAAUCAGAGGCGUCCCUGCAAUGAUUAAACACCAAGGGAAGGCUGCCUUCCCAGUCCGUGACCGGCGCCGGAGUUUUGGGUCCACGGAUAAAAUGUGUCUCCUUUGUUUCUACCAGAAAAUGAAAGGAAUUGAAAUUAAGAGAAGGGAGAGAUUGAAGUGUGGCGCCAAGAUUGAAAGGAGAAAGAGGUUGAGGGAUAGUGAGGGAAGUUGGAGAAGAGAGUAAAAAGAGGCCACUUACCGGAUUUGAAAUUGGUGAGAUGUUUCUUGGGCUGGUCGGUCUGAGGACCUGAGGUCAUAGGUGGAUCUUUCUCACGGAGCAGAGAGCAGGAGGACGGGGGGAUUGAUCUCCCAAGGGAGGUCCCCCCAUCCGAGUCACGGCACCAAAUUUCAUGCGCGUCUGUGUGAAGAGACCACCAAACAGGGUUUGUGUGAGCAACAUGGCUGUUUAUUUCACCUGGUUGCAGGAGAGCUGAGUCCGAAAAGAGAGUCAGCGAAGGGAGAUAGGGGUGGGCCAUUUUAUAGAAUUUGGGAAGGUAAUGGAAAAUUACAGUCAAAGGGGGUUGUUCUCUGGUGGGCAGGGGCGGGGUCACAAGGUGCUCAGUGGGGGAGCUUCUGUACCA
rnacentral:lncRNA from 1 species